rnacentral:rRNA from 1 species
AUGAAGUGGUGGAAGCUCAAGGGGGAGGUAGCUCAGGUGUUCAAGGAGAGGGUAUUUAAGGAGGGCCCUUGGGAGGAAGGAGGGGAUGCGGACAAUGUGUGGAUGAAGAUGGCGACUUGCAUUCGUAAGGUGGCCUCGGAGGAGUUUGGAGUGUCCAGGGGAAGGAGAAGCAAAGAUAAGGAUACCUGGUGGUGGAAUGAUGAUGCCCAGAAGGCGCUUAAAGAGAAGAAAGAUUGCUUCAGACGCCUAUACCUGGAUAGGAGUGCAGACAACAUAGAGAAGUACAAGAUGGCGAAGAAGGCCACAAAGCGAGCUGUUGGUGAAGCAAGGGGUCGGGCAUAUGAGGACCUCUACCAACGGUUAGGCAUGAAGGAAGGUGAAAGGGACAUCUAUAAGAUGGCUAAGAUCCGGGAGAGGAAGACGAGGGAUAUUGGCCAAGUCAAAUGCAUCAAGGACGGAGAAGGCCAACUCUUGGUGAAGGACGAAGAGAUUAAGCAUAGAUGGCGGGAGUACUUCGACAAGCUGUUCAAUGGGGAGAAUGAGAGUUCUACCAUUGAACUGAAUGACUCCUUUGAUGAGACCAGCAUGCGUUUUGUGCGGCGCAUCCAGGAGUCUGAGGUGAAGGAGGCUUUAAAAAGGAUGAAAGGAGGCAAGGCGAUGGGCCCUGAUUGUAUCCCCAUUGAGGUGUGGAAAGGUCUCGGGGACAUAGCGAUAGUAUGGAUAACCAAGCUUUUCAACCUCAUUUUUCGGGAAAACAAGAUGCCAGAAGAAUGGAGACGGAGUAUAUUAGUACCAAUCUUCAAGAACAAGGGGGAUGUUCAGAGUUGUACUAAUUACCGUGGAAUUAAGCUGAUGAGCCAUACAAUGAAGCUACGGGAGAGAGUCAUUGAGCACCACUUAAGAAGAAUGACAAGCGUGACCAAAAAUCAGUUUGGUUUCAUGCCUGGGAGGUCGACCAUGGAAGCCAUUUUCUUGGUACGACAACUUAUGGAGAGAUAUAGGGAGCAUAAGAAGGACUUGCAUAUGGUGUUCAUUGACUUGGAGAAGGCCUAUUAUAAGAUACCGCGGAAUGUCAUGUGGUGGGCCUUGGAGAAACACAAAGUCCCAGCAAAGUACAUUACCCUCAUCAAGGACAUGUACAAUAAUGUUGUGAUAAGUGUUCGAACAAGUGAUGUCGACACCGAUGACUUCCCGAUUAAGAUAGGACUGCAUCAGGGGUCAGCUUUGAGCCCUUAUCUUUUUGUAUUGGUGAUGGAUGAGGUCACAAGGGGUAUACAAGGAGAUAUCCCAUGGUGUAUGCUCUUUGCGGAUGAUGUGGUGCUAGUUGACGAUAGUCGGACGGGGGUAAAUAGGAAGUUAGAGUUAUGGAGACAAACCUUGGAAUCGAAAGGGUUUAGGCUUAGUAGAACUAAAACCGAGUACAUGAUGUGCGGUUUCAGUACUACUAGCUGUGAGGAGGAGGAGGUUAGCCUUGAUGGCCAGGUGGUACCUCGGAAGGACACCUUUCGGUAUUUGGGGUCAAUGUUGCAGGAGGAUGGGGGUAUUGAUGAAGAUGUGAACCAUCGAAUCAAAGCCGGAUGGAUGAAGUGGCGCCAAGCUUCUGGAAUUCUCUGUGACAAGAGAGUGCCACAAAAGCUAAAAGGCAAGUUCUACAGGACGGCGGUUCGACCCGCAAUGUUGUAUGGCGCGGAGUGUUGGCCGACUAAAAGGCGACAUGUUCAACAGUAA